rnacentral:sRNA from 1 species
UUAAGAGAAUAAAAAAAUUAAAUUUUGAAUGACAAAUGUAAACAUCUGAUCGUUUGACUUGACACGUGACACGAUCCUAUGAGUUAAAAACUUUGAAAACCAUACUUUAUAUAAUAAGAUUCUAUUUUUU